rnacentral:rRNA from 1 species
GACGAACGCUGGCGGCGUGCUUAACACAUGCAAGUCGAACGGAAAGGCCCUGCUUUUGUGGGGUGCUCGAGUGGCGAACGGGUGAGUAACACGUGAGUAACCUGCCCUUCACUUUGGGAUAACCUCAGGAAACUGGGGCUAAUACCGGAUAGGAGCUCCUGCUGCUUGGUGGGGGUUGGAAAGUUUCGGCGGUUGGGGAUGGACUCGCGGCUUAUCAGCUUGGUGGUUGGGUAGUGGCAUACCAAGGCCUUGACGGGUAGCCGUCCUGAGAGGGUGACCGGCCACAUUGGGACUGAGAUACGGCCCAGACUCCUACGGGAGGCAGGAGUGGAGAAUAUUGCACAAUGGGCGGAGGCCUGAUGCAGCAACGCCGCGUGCGGGAUGACGGCCUUCGGGUUGUAAACCGCUUUCGCCUGUGACGAAGCGUGAGUGACGGUAAUGGGUAAAGAAGCACCGGCUAACUACGUG